GGGUACUUGUACAUUAUCCCUAUUUAAUAGUUUAAAAUGAUUUUUAUAUAUAAAUUGAAUUAAGUUUAUUGAUAACUAUCCUUAUGAUCAUCGAAGCUCCGACAACGAUGAAAACUCCAACCCACCACUAACAAACAACUCUCCCUUUACUCUCUCUAUUGGUCUCCAUUUUCAUUUUCUCCGACCAAACAACCACCAACAACCCCUCUUUCUUUUUCUCAUUUUUUUGGACCAAAACAACCACCAAAACCCAACUGCUCUUCUCUAAAACAGCAGCCAGUCUGCCACCACCAAACACCCUGACACACGACACUCAAAACUACCCAAACGACCUCCUCAUAACCAGACCCAAAAAACCCUUUGUUUUUCUCCUUUUUCCGGUGAAAAAGUCACCGGAAAGACUCCACAACGCCACCAUUGGCCAGCCACCAGACCCCUCUCUUCUCCAACCAGAAACAAGAGUCAAACCACCACCAGAGCUUCGCCAGAAACCAUCUCUAGCAUCCUCCCUUCACACGCUCAACGAACCAUAACUCAUCACUACACCAUGGAAUCCAUGACAAGAUCCAACGAGCACAACAACGAAUGGAGCAAAACAAACUCCAGUCAUUAUUUCAAUGGCAUCCAGGAAGAAACAACAACAACCAGUGAGGUAGAGACCACCUUGGGUGCUUUUAGAUCUGCUCGGAUUUUCAAUUUUACAGGCGAUGACUCAAUUUUGUAGGUACAUCGAGUCGCUUUCAGUCGAAGCUAUUCGAAUUGUAAUUUUAUUUAUUUGUUGCUUAUAUUAUUAGUGAUAGGCAAACUUAGGUCAUUUCUUAUUAUUGUUUUAAUUUAUUUUUUGUGUAUAUUGCAUGCCUAUUAUAUUUGUUUAUAAUUUUGUUUCCUCCUCAAUUUGAAAAAAAAAUGAAUUCAGUUGGGACCCAAAUUUGUGGGUUUCAAAGGGUGUCUAACACCUUCCCUUCAGAAUCACUUGAAUCCCUUACCUAGAA